CAGAAACCAACGGGUGACGUCACGCCGCUCCUUUUUCCAUGAUCGUGUGUGGGGGAAAACGCUGUUCUUGGGACUUUGAGAUCUGAUUUAGUGACCAGAGGGACCACAACAUCUGGAUUAUUGAUCAACAUCUGUGUCAACUUUUAAAAAGCAUUUAAAAACUUUAUUUUUUAGGAUGGCAUAAUCCUUAUAAUGCUCAAAUGUUUUGUGUAUUUGUACACACGCAUAAAUGUGUGUAUGUGUCAUGUAGUAUGUGUAGGAAGAUAUAUAUGUGUACACCUGUGUGUGUAUUUAUCUAUAUACUUCUACAUGUAUAUGUAGGAUUUUAUGGAUAUGUGGACAUACACAAUAUUUGUUUUUACUUUAAUAUUUUAUGAUUAUAUUUAUUCUGGAUCU